UACGUAGGGGGCAAGCGUUGUCCGGAAUUAUUGGGCGUAAAGAGCGUGUAGGCGGUCCGAUAAGUCGGCUGUGAAAGUCCAGGGCUCAACCCUGGGAUGCCGGUCGAUACUGUCGGACUAGAGUUCGGAAGAGGCGAGUGGAAUUCCUGGUGUAGCGGUGAAAUGCGUAGAUAUCAGGAGGAACACCGGUGGCGAAGGCGGCAUCCUGGACCGACACUGACGCUGAGGAGCGAAAGCCAGGGGAGCAAACGGG
rnacentral:rRNA from 1 species